rnacentral:rRNA from 1 species
UUCAGCGUCUGUACCACGGCAAAUACACCGAUUCUCGUUAGAUCGAUGAAGUUAAGCAACGUCGAGCGUGGAUAGUACCUGGAUGUCUGAUCAACUGAGAUCGAACCCCUGAUUGUUAAAU